CCGCUUUUAGCUCAGUGGUCGAGCGUUGGCUUUGGAGGCCACAGGUCGGUGGUUCGAACCCGCCAGGGCACA
rnacentral:tRNA from 1 species